CAAAGAAUAGUUUAUUUAAAAUAUUAAUUUUGGAGAUUAAUGAUAUGGGUUUCUGUUUCUUUGA
rnacentral:tRNA from 1 species